rnacentral:tRNA from 1 species
GCCUUGGUGGCGGAAUUGGUAGACGCGCACGACUCAAAAUCGUGUGGGGGUAACCCCAUGAGAGUUCGAUUCUCUCCCGAGGCACAA